CCUCUCCCUCCCUCUCUUUCACUCGCCGAAAUUCAUCUUCGAAACUCGACGAGUUCGUUUCAGUUCGCCGAAAAUGAAGGGAGUUGAAUUUUGAUUUCGAAACUCGACAAGUUCGUCUCUCUCUUUCAGUUUGCUUCAGUUCGCCGAAACUCGACGAGUUCGUUACAGAUCAGGGGAGCCGAGUUGUGAAGAUCUGGUUCUUCUCGAAGUCUUGCGUUUGAGGUGAAGAUCUGGAUUGCUAUGAAGAUUGCGUUUGAGUUUUGUAUUUUUAUUUUUAAUUUUAUCUCCCCUUCAUCUUCUGGUUAGGGUUAGAAUUUCUUUUUUCUAUUUUUGAUUUAGUUUCUUGAUUGUUCUCCAUCGUUUGUUAUUUUUUUGUAUAUUUUAGUUUUAGAUCUGAUGUUAGUGGUAAUGGUGAUAUUUUUUUCUUGUAUUUUUUUCAAUUAAAAUUAUAUAAAACCAUGUAACUUCUAGUA